CCCUAUGGGGUGCCGGUGUAGACAUAAAACAGGUAAAUAAGGACUUUAUCCAACAGAAGGAUUAUUGUGAUUGGGUCCUGAAGGCCAGCAAGUUACUGGAGGAGUUUAAGGGUAAAAUAUUAUAUCCCAAGGACGUGGCCAUACCGGUGGAUGAUGAAAGGAAGGAAUUUUCCGUGGAGGAAAUUCCAAACAAGUCUAUAUAUGAUAUCGGCUCAGAUACUAUAAAUGAGUAUGCUAAGAUAAUCAGAGGAGCAGGUACACUAUUUGCUAACGGUCCUGCCGGUGUAUUUGAAGAGGAAGGAUUCAGUAUAGGCACAGAAGAUAUUUUAAACGCCAUAGCAUCCUCACCCGGGCUUUCCAUAAUUGGCGGGAGGGC
rnacentral:rRNA from 1 species